rnacentral:rRNA from 1 species
CAGUCGCCGCGGGAAUACGUAGGGUGCAAGCGUUAAUCGGAAUUACUGGGCGUAAAGCGUGCGCAGGCGGUUUGUUAAGACAGAUGUGAAAUCCCCGGGCUCAACCUGGGAACUGCAUUUGUGACUGGCAAGCUAGAGUGUGGCAGAGGGGGGUGGAAUUCCGCGUGUAGCAGUGAAAUGCGCAGAUAUGCGGAGGAACACCGAUGGCGAAGGCAGCCCCCUGGGCCAACACUGACGCUCAUGCACGAAAGCGUGGGGAGCAAACAGGAUUAGAGACCCCCGUAGUCCCUGUCCUUAUACA